rnacentral:rRNA from 1 species
CACGUAGGGGGCAAGCGUUGUCCGGAUUUAUUGGGCGUAAAGAGCUCGUAGGCGGCCACUCAAGUCGAAUGUGAAACCUCGAGGCUUAACCUCGAGCCUGCAUUUGAUACUGGGCGGCUAGAGUCUGGUAGGGGGAUCUGGAAUUCCUGGUGUAGCGGUGGAAUGCGCAGAUAUCAGGAGGAACACCGGUGGCGAAGGCGGGAUCCUGGGCCAGUACUGACGCUGAGGAGCGAAAGCGUGGGGAGCAAACAGG